rnacentral:rRNA from 1 species
CCUACGGGAGGCAGCAGUGGGGAAUAUUGGACAAUGGGCGCAAGCCUGAUCCAGCAAUGCCGCGUGAGUGAUGAAGGCCUUAGGGUCGUAAAGCUCUUUUACCAGGGAUGAUAAUGACAGUACCUGGAGAAUAAGCUCCGGCUAACUCCGUGCCAGCAGCCGCGGUAAUACGGAGGGAGCUAGCGUUGUUCGGAAUUACUGGGCGUAAAGCGUACGUAGGCGGUUAUUCAAGUCAGAGGUGAAAGCCCGGGGCUCAACCCCGGAACGGCCUUUGAAACUAGGUAGCUAGAAUCUUGGAGAGGUCAGUGGAAUUCCGAGUGUAGAGGUGAAAUUCGUAGAUAUUCGGAAGAACACCAGUGGCGAAGGCGACUGACUGGACAAGUAUUGACGCUGAGGUACGAAAGCGUGGGGAGCAAACAGGAUUAGAUACCCUGGUAGUCCACGCCGUAAACGAUGAUAACUAGCUGUUCGGGCACUUGGUGCUUGAGUGGCGCAGCUAACGCAUUAAGUUAUCCGCCUGGGGAGUACGGUCGCAAGNUUAAAACUCAAAUGAAUUGACGG